AUGAGAGCCUACAAAAACAAGACAAUGGAUUUCCUGGAUAGGCUGGACGAAGAAAGGAGGGAACCUGUGCUGGACAAGGUAGCAAGAUUUGGACGAAUAUGUAGAGACCAGAAAAGGGUGAGUGAAAUGGAACUGAGAUUGGAGUUGAUUUGGCAACAGCAGGACAAAGAGCAGAGAAGGGGGGGGGGGACGACGACACAGAGAAAGAAAGAUAAAAAGCUCCUCAAAGAGCAGGGACUAGAGACAACCAGGAAGGAGUAUCCUACCUUGAAUUAUACACAGCUGGAUAGGGUUGUGGACAUACUGGAAGGACGGGCUGUAGGGAAGCCCAUUUGCCACAUGUGGAUCGUAGGAAAUGAAAUUGUGCCAUACAGCCCGUCCUUCCAGUAUGUCCACAAUCCUAUCCAGCUGUGUAUAAUUCAAGGUAGGAUACUCUUUCUUGGUUGCCUCUAGUCCCUGCUCUUUGAGGAGCUUUUCAGCUUUCUUUCUCUCUGUGUCAUUUUUUUUUUCCCCUGCUCUUUGUCCUACUGUCACCUAAUCAAUUCCAGUCUGUUCUUUUUCACUCACUCUUUUCUGGUCUCUACAGAUUUGUCCAAAUCUUGCUACCUUGUCCAGCAUAUGUUCCCUCCUUUCUUCGUCCAGUCUAUCCAGGUAAUCCAUUGUCUUGUUUUUGUAGGCUCUCAUCUGAGCUAAGAGAAAAGUGACUGUGGCAUGUGGUGACUACUUCUGUGCAGCACUGAACAUCCCAAUUAACUCCUCCGAGUCCAUGUUAUAAAACGGUUUCCUCCUGAAACCUUUCUGUUAUUUGCGUGAAGUACUUUGCAUACUGGCGCUCAAGUACUUCAACAGUUGCCUCCAGACAAGACAUCAUUAUAAGAACAAACAGAUGAGGCAUAGCCCUCAGAUUCCCUAAUGUACUUGUCCAGCACAGUAUCUUAACCAAAAAAGUCCUCCAUAGAUGAUAGAAUCUGAAGUAGAUCCUGCAACAUGCUCUUCACUCUCUCGAUGACCUGCUUGACCAGUUCGAUUGCAUCAACAUGAUUUAUGUCUUGACUCAACUGAAGUGUAGAAUUCUGUCAUCCAGGGACCAGUUAGGUGUUUCCCAAGUAUUCCUAGUACCUGAAGUUCUACUUUUGUUGUGUCACUUGAGAAAUCUUUCUGAGGACGACCUCUGAAGCCACAUAAGGAUGUGCCCUGUUUCAGCAACUCCGUGAAUGCCUCAUAGUGCUCCACAAGAACAACUGCGUUAUGAAAGAGUAUGUGCAGUCUCUUGCCUCUGUAAAGAGGCAGAAUGCCCCUCGGGAGUUUCUUCUUGUCCAAAAAAGUCACGAAACCACACGGGUCUCCUUUUCCGUCUUUGUAACGAGGCUUGUUGAAUGCGACUAUGACAUUUGCUGCAAUACAGUCCUUACCGUACAUGCUUCCGCCAGUGCCUUCCACUUCCUUGAAUACUAACUUGCAUGCUGUUGCUGUGGAAUCAAGAGGGUGUAGAUGGCAGUUCAUCUCAUUAAGUGUUUUUCCCUACUGACGAGACGAAUGGCCGCACGAUUGGCUGCACAUCAGUUGGUCAUAGUAUUACAUCUUUUAUCAAUUAAUCAGUUGAAAUUUCUUGAAAGUUUGUUCCUUCAUUGAAUAAAAAGUAAGUGUGGACCA
ensembl:lncRNA